GACGAACGCUGGCGGCGUGCCUAAUACAUGCAAGUCGAACGCAGUGGGGACGGGUGCGUAACACGUGGGUAACCUCCCAUCUGAGUGGAUAACACUUGGAAACAGGUGCUAAACCGAUACUGAUGUAUGUACCCGCUGUGCAUUAGCUAGUUGGUGAGGUAACGGCUCACCAAGGCCACGAUGCAUAGCCGGCCUGAGAGGGUGAUCGGCCACACUGGGACUGAGACACGGCCCAGACUCCUACGGGAGGCAGCAGUAGGGAAUCUUCGGCAAUGGACGAAAGUCUGACCGAGCAACGCCGCGUGAGUGAAGAAGGUUUUCGGAUCGUAAAACUCUGUUGUUAGAGAAGCGGUAUCUAACCAGAAAGCCACGGCUAACUACGUGCCAGCAGCCGCGGUAAUUC
rnacentral:rRNA from 1 species